rnacentral:lncRNA from 10 species
CAUAGCAUCAUCAUUUCUCUUACCAAUUAAGAAAAAUUAUGGUGGCACUUAAAAUAUUUUACUUUGAUUUUUCCUUUUUGGAACAGUCAGUUUUAAGGUAAAAUGGCUUGUAAAUUUGAGUUUUUGCUGCUGCUUGUAAGGCAGGUAAAUUAUGGCUUGCAUGUUUUCAUAAGCAUAAAUAAAUCUUGUGCUUUAUUUGGGAUGAGGAAGUUAAGGCAGUUGAAAAUAAAAUAAGUGGUUUGGAAGUUUCUUGAGAAGAGGAUCAAAAGAAAGAGAACCAAUAUAUAGAAAUUUCACAUGAUCAAGGAAGUUUAUGGAUGCGUUUGUGGAAAUCUUACUCUAUGAACUUGUUGGAUUAGAUGCUGUUUUAUUCUCUACUAAGUGAAAAGUGCUUUAUUUCAGUGCUUUCCCAUGGUUGGGAGAGAGUAGCUGUUAACUAUUCUGGGUAAUGGGGGUGAGUAUGUUGAGGAAGAGAUUUAGAACCAGAAGAGUGAAGAGACUCAAACUGUUCCAUAACAAGGAAAGCUUUAAAGACCUUGUAUUUCACAGUCUGGAGAACUAGAGGGAUCUGACUCUUGGUCAGUUCAUGUAACAAAUUAUUUAUUGAGUACUUGCUGGGCUCUCAAGAUUCAUGCUUUGAGCACAGGCAGUCAUUCAGUUUCCAGUCCACCUGAUUACAUCAGCAUGCACUUAGUUUUCUUUCUUGUUCACAAGGACUUUUGAUCAUGCAAGACCUGGCCAAGUCUUCUAUAAUCCAGAUGGGUUUCCUGGGGCUGUUACUUGAGUAUUCCUGUCAAAAUAUUUUCGUGAACCCUGCCUCUCUUAGCAAACACUACUUCAUAAGUGUUAACAAACAUCCUUUUAAUAAUCUAUUCCAGAAUAUUCUCCAGGAGUAAGUUUACUGGUUGGGAUUUGUGGAAGCCAUUUUCUCAUGUUUCCCAAAUAAGAUAUGUAGUCUUCAGCUGAUUCCUCAAAGAUGAUUGACAGGGAGUUUCACCCAUCUUUGUGGUAGUUUGUGAGUUCCUAGGCAUGUAAGUGAUUAAAAGAUUGAGUACCUGCUCUCCUAAUAUCUACCCACUUUUACCAUGUCAGUGUUUUAUGAAUUAGAUCACUUACCAAGAGAAAGCAGAAACGAAAUACUUGAAUCUGACAAUAUCCGACUGGCUCUUUUCAUUGCUCUGGAUUUAUUUUCCACAUCAAUCUCUUUGGGGUGGCCCUAGCCUAUUAUUCCUGUGGGUUCAGCUGAGGCAUGGUUAGCCUGGGUUUAUAAUUCAGUUUACGUUAAACAUUCCCUGUGCAGCAACAGCUGUUCAUUUAGGUACUCUUUUUUUUUUUCUCCUUAUUACAGUUACUUUUGGUAUUAUGUGCUUUAUCUUUAAAAGCUUUCUAGCUCUAGGAAAUUGUUUUCCCUGUUUGUGUCUAUUUUAUUGCAUCUUGUGUAACACUGUGGUUAUAUCUAUACCAACAACUUUUUGUUGCUAUGGAUACCACAGAUUGUCCUGAAUUAAAACCCUAACAUAAUAAAUGUCUGUUUAGCCGUUACUUUACUGAGUAAUAAUACUAUAUUGUGGCAGUAUGGCCCUUUAAUACUAAGGAGGUAUGGUGUAGAAAUUAUUUGAACACUCAUAUCCAAAUGUUAUUAAUGAUGUUUGACAGUUUUCUCAAUGCUUAAUGAUAUUCCUCACUCCUCAUUCCAGGGUAGAGGAGGGUUUGGUCCCAGGCUAUGGACAAACUGCUAAUUUGUUUGAAGUUUGAAUUAUUUUUCAUGGGAAAGGGAAGUGAUAGGAAAUGACCAAGACCAUCCACUUUUGACUUGAGUAUGGAUCGAGUAUAAGUAAUAGUUUCCUAGCCUCACUGAUUGUACCAUGAACUGACAGACCUACCAGUCAAAUUCAUGUACCCAGAUAAUGGUCUCUCACAUGGCAACAAAGUACACAGCAGUUUGCAGUAUGUGUCUCUUUUAAAGCCAGUUCAGUGUUUUCACCUUGACGACCACUCCUGCAAACAGUUCUCAUAGAGCUCUUCUCUGCUCCCCAAAUCAAUAUAUUUUGAAGCUAUGUCAAAUAUUUACAUAGAAAGGAAAUAAAGUUGUAUGUGCUUUGAAACCAGCAAAAUCCUUUGUACAACACCUCUCUUCUCCUUCUAUGUUUAUGAAUAGAGUUCGUGGAAUAUUGCCAUAGUGCAAAUAAUGACUUCCGUGUAUCACUUAUACCCUGUAGGGGUGAGCUUUCACCUUAGGUGUGGUUAUAUCCUAGCAGUGUAUCAAGCCCACUCAAAUAAUGGUCUAUAUUUAAAAGUAUGUGUCUAGUUUACUUAUUUAUGUCAUUUAACAUCCAUAAAUGUACAUCUCUCAGUUGUAUAUCAUGAUUGUAAAUCAGAAAUUUUGAUGGCAAAAAUAUUCUAAAACAACAUUCUUCAGGGGAAAGAAAAACAUGGAUACCUUAUCUAGCAUUGCUCAUAAAAGUACUCAUGUUCAUCCUUUUUGGAAACUAUUAAUCAUGCUAGCCUUAGAUCAUUUUAAGCUCCUUUGCUCAAACCAAUCAUUGAUGUGCAGUAUGACCAGCAGCUAGUAAGUCUGUGGUGCUACCAGUAUAGCUUGGAAGAUGGUUCUGAAUUAAUACCUCAGAAUGAUAUCAAAAGUAAAAGAGUGGUUCUAUUGCUAAAUAUAUUGACUAGCUUUCUUAUAACAAUUUUACUUUGAAAUUCAAAGUUCCAAAGCUAAAUGUCUAAAAGAAGUAACUGCAGCUUGUUCUGCUGAUUUUGGAAAAUAGUAUUAACCAUGUAAGAUCUUUGGGGUUGGAGUGAAGGUCUUAUCUGCAUUAAUUUUGUUAAUGCACAUUGUAGAUGUGGAGAACAUCUUGACCUGCAUAAGGAUUGCGUCUCAUUUUAUUGUGUAGUGCUUUUUCGAAAUAUUUACAUUUCUUUGGUUCCCAUGUUCAUGUAUUCUGGAGAAGUAAAAUUUCUUGAUUACUGGGCAGACCCUAAAACUACUAAGAGAAACAUAACAUGUAGUUAGCUGUCUGCUCAUGGUUUGUUCAAAUCUAAGCUAACCUUAAUGGUGCUGUGUCCGCUGUCCACAGAAAACGCCCUUAAGUAGCCCUACCUUACUCCUUAGAGCUUAUUUUGCUUUUGUAUUUAAUAAAAGCUGUCUUAAA